UGAGCUUGGGAGUACAAUGGACAACAUGCCUCCAUGUGGAUUAGUUGGUUUUGGACUGUUUUUCUUGGUUUUGACCAUCAAAACCGAAGUUAUUUCACAUGGAGGACACAUUUAAACGCGUACUCUUUUUGAGAUGUCUGGCGAGUGAACGAUGGUCCGUUAUAGCCGGCGUGCCCAAGCGGACCGCCGACAACAACAAAGGAGAGAAGAACAAGAGGUUGAGCUCUCCUUCAGCCUGGGCAGUGUAAGGACGAACCACCACAAAGUGUCUUCCUGGGACCGCACUGUACAGCUUCCUCCUGGUACCUAGGGCAUCUCCAUGACUGCUGGGACUGACAAGAGCAG